AUGCUCGCUACGGCAGCACAUAUACUAAAAUUGGAAUGAUACGGAGUAGGUUAGCAUGGCCCCUGCGCAAGGAUGAC
rnacentral:snRNA from 1 species